rnacentral:lncRNA from 1 species
CUUCACCUUCUAUCCUGGCCCAGCUCCUUCUUAUCAUGCUUCCUGAGCCAGUGCAGUGGUCAAUACGGAAAACCUUCCCUGACCCUCCUAGACUUGUAACCUCUGAUUCUCCACAGCACUCCCCCGCAUGCCUCUGCUACUAGACUUAUUUCACACUGAGUGUUACACAUUUAGGGAGCUGGAUGCUGGCCCUGUGUGUCUUGUGCAUGUGCUAUGCAUGGCCCAUGGCGUCCAAUCCAUUUUUGUUAUUCUGGGAGGUAACCCUUACCUUUGUUGCACUUUGCUCUUGUAAUAGGACUAAACAGGCUACCUUCAUUUCUACUCAAGCAGCAUUUAAUGAGAUUAGUCAACAAUGACAGGCGAUCCUCAUCCCCCACCAGGCCAAUUUUCCCUGGCAGGAUGGUGCUUGCCCACCUUGAUAGGUGGCAGGACAAUUACUGGGCGCCCUCUCGACCUGCUUCAAAGCUUCCUAUAACCUGGCAGUGAAUGAAAUGCACAACCUUCCAACUCAAUGACAUUUAAGGCAACCACUCAUUGGUUCAGGCAGCAAAAUAAAUUGGUACUCAGCUGCUCCCAGUCUAUUUUUCUGGUUGGAGCAAUAAAUAAAAGAAAUGAUUGUGCCACUGCACAUGUGACACCAGCCUGCCCCCUCCCCAAGCAAUCACAUUCUCUCACUCUCUCUCUGGCUUUGUUCUGGUCCCCUUUAGGAACAGAGUGUUAAGGAUUGUAUUUGGGUUGCCCAGGGCUGUGUGUCUACAUUUGAGUCCUACACACACAAAUAUAAUAAAUGAAUGUGUGUACAUUUGAAUUGCAUACCCACUCCUACUGAAUUUGUAGUGCAUUCAUAUGGAAAUAUUUUCUACUAAAUAUUAUAACUCCCCCAAUAUUCUUAUUUAGUCCCUUUUAUUCAAGGGACUAAGUUGCAUCACUCAAGGGUGACAUUUAAAUGACAGUUACUACAGUAACACAGAGUAAUGACCUUGUGAAGUGCCAUAUAUUGGUGUGCUUAUCCAGUAAUUUAUAUACCCCAUAAAUACCAGUUGUGAUGUCUGAAGAGAACUUAAAAAAGACAAGAAAUCUCUUUUCCCCACACAAAUGGUUGUGAAAUAUAACAUUUUUAGAAGCACGUUGGGGAUACUUUUUUACCCCAUAAUCUCCCCCACCCCCCAGAUUCCUUCCCUUCUAAGCAGUGAGUGUUGCAUCCCUCUGCCCCUCAAAUAUUAAAAAUAAAAACCAGAAGAUAGUCUUCUGCUCUCCCUCCCACCCCAAGGUCUUUACAAACACAAAGAGAAAAAAAAAGGAAUCUAUCAAAUCACAAGAUCCUUACCCUCUCUCAAACUAAAUCUGCUUUAAUCAGUAUGCUAGCACAUUCUGUCAAACUCCCCAACUUUUUAAGCAAUACAUUAUUCCUUCAGUUUCUGCCAAAGCUAAACCUUUGCCAGGCCCCACGGCUUUAUGAAGAGGCUGUUGCCAAGUUGACUUCUCUGUCUCAGUCAAGAGGCUGCUCCCCAGCUCUGCUCGAAAUUAAUAAGGCCAAUCAGAUAUGCACAAAGCCUGCGCAGCCAAUCAUUCUUCUCCAAGUAUUUGCCAUCUCCUCUGCGGUCAGAUAAAUCACGUUAAAGCUAUUACACCAAUGACCAUAAAUUAGGGGGCCUGGCGGUCAGUCCCUCCCGAGGACACAGCAGGCUAAGAUUAUUCCAGCGCAAGGGAGGGGAGGUGGGCCCGCGGGGUGGUGAGUUAUCUGUGGUUACAGAAUCCUGGGCCGGCGCGCAGGCUCCCGGAGGACCGUGUCUGGGCUGCGCCCAGCUGUGCACCAGCGCUCGGACGGAGAUGGCCCCAUCCCCUGGUGCGCGGACUCCAUCUGCGCCGCUCUGCCAGACUAUUUACAGCCGAGGUUCGGCCGGUGAUUGCUGGCAUGGAAAACUCAUUUCUCAGCCCGGCUUUUAUUUACACUCUUAUUAAGGAGCCUUCACUCACAUCGGAAUGGCAGCGAGUGGCUGCAGCGAGCCCUUGGCCCCCGGCCAGGCAGCCGAUCUUGGGGCGGGUGAGCCCCCGGGGCCGCCCUCGCCGGCGACCUUCCGCCCAGGGAGCGCAGUGAGCGCUGGCACAAAGGCACCAGAAACCAGGGCGCAGGAACCUGAGCGCAACACCCUGGAAAAAUUCAGUGGCCUGGUGGCUGAUUUCCCCUUGCGGUGUUGGCUGGUUCCCCGCCCCCUUGCCUGGCCAUGCUUCUUGCAAACGUGGACCGUGAGAAAAUGAAGGGUUGACAUGCUUUAACCCGCAUCCAAAAUCUUAGAUCAAGAUUCCACCCUCCCCCAGACCCCUCUCUACCCGCCCAAGCCUCUGCUGCUGGGUUGUAACCCAGCCUUCCAGGAGGGAUAGACUCCCAGUAAUGACUCCCAGGAGGGAAACUUCCUGGCUGUUCUUUCUGUUGGCACCGCAUAAAACCCAAGCAGGCCAGCGCAUGUGCGUGUGAGCCUGCAAGUCCGGAAAACCCGCCAGAAGCCUCUGCACAUCUGGGGCUCCUAACCAUGCAUAUUCAUGACUGAGAGCAGUAAAACCCAGGUCAGCUGCUUGAAGACAAUGAACUGUGUUCUUAAAGGCUAACCAAGCCCGAGAAUUGAAUAAAAAUAACAACCCCCCAGCCUCCUUUCUGAAUCCUGUGCAAAGCGUCUUAACACUUGAGACUAUUUUUUUUCCCCCUAAAAUGGACAAAGGAAACAGGGAGCAGUUUUGCAAGGGGUCAGUUUCUACAGUUUUCCUUAACUAUAGAAAUCUUGAUUCUACCUUUUCCUUAGUGUCCUCAGCCUCUGCAAGAGUAGGUAGUAUCUUCACAUCUUUUCUUCUGCACAUGGUCCCUCUUGGUUUAACUUGUUUCCUUUCUCUUCCUGUUACUCAUCCUGCCAUCUGAUGGCAUCACUCUUAGCCUUUCUUCCCAGAAAGGAUGGAUCUUCUGCCCUCCUGACGCUCAUUUCUAUCACUUCCAUGCUACUCCCACAGACCCCCCCCAUCCCCCAUUCCGGGUUUGCUGUUAUGGGCUGAAUUGUGUCCCCCAAAACUGAUUUGUUAAGACUUAAUCCUGCACUACUUAAGAAUAUGACUGUAUUUUGGAGAGAGAGCCUUUAAAGAGGUAAUUAAGGUAAAAUGAGGUUCAAUAUGACUGGUGUUCUUUUGAGAGGAAAUUCAGACAAAGAGACACCAAGAAUGCAUGCUCUCAGGCAAAAGACUGUGAAGACAACAAAAAAGGCCAAGCCAAGCCAAGGAGAGGCCAAACCUUUCCCUCAGGAUGGUUUUGGUCUGCACAGCAUUCUUUUUAUUAUGUUUAAGGUGAUCUUGUUUUUUGAUAAGAAACUAUUCACCAGUGAAAUUUCCAUGAGAUUUAUUCAUGCCCCUUCUGUUUUUCAGUUUUGCCCUGUGAUUUUAAUGUGCAGGCAGGGACUAGAAUCCCUGCAGUAAGAGGCAGGUAUUAACUAAUUAAAUGUUCAUGGCUACUGCAUUGUUGGAUUUAGGUUCCCUUAAGCUUAAAUUCUUUGGGUUUUGUUCUGCUAAAAAAUGUCAUCAUAUUAUUCUUAUUGCUGAGCCCAGAGGCAAAGGUCAAGUAGAUCAUGAAAAAUGCCCUGUUAGUAUGUGAAAUGGUUUUAUUAUUUCAGGUCAACUGAGAACAUAAAGAAAGAUGUCAAGAGCUGUGUAAUAUUGAUAACACUGCAGAAAACUACUCUCUAUCCCAGCACUUCAGGUUUUGUAAUAAAUGGUGCAGCUGGACACCAUGGUAAAAGAUUUACCUUUUACCAUUACUUUUAUUACAGGUCACUGCUCAAGAAUGUAGGAUCUGUUUUAAGCACACUUUCUUUCAAGAGGAAUUUCAAUAUAACUGUGUUCAGUUCUUACAGACCUUGGGUAUCUUCUCUUCUUCAGCUAUUAAUUGGCAAGUAUGGAGAGCUAAAGCUUACCUGCAGCUCACUUGUUACUGAAAAAUUGAUGGAAAGUUCAUGUAUCAUGGCUAAUACCCCGAAGGUAGGGCCUUAUAUUUGACUCUGGUACUCAAUUUCAUCCUGAAAAUAAGCCUUGCCAAUAUAAACCUUUGUAAUAAGUGCUAAGGAGAUGCUGGCAUAGAGCUCCAGCUGAAUAAGAGUCAAACUAGAGUGAGAGGAAAAUAAAAUGCCUGUGGCAGAAAUAUAUUUUAUAGAUGUUGUUGGUGGGUCAGAUGAUAUUGCUUGAUUAGUACAAAGUUCAAAGUUCAGGGAUAGAGAUUGAUGUGAAAGGGCUUUGUUAAAUAUGCUAUCUAACAUAGGCUGAAUGGACACAAAAACAAGACCUACAUAUUUGCUGUUUAUAAGAGACCCACUUCAGAUCAAGAGACACAUACAGGAGUUCAUGGCGCAGUGGUUAACGAAUCCAACUAGGAACCAUGGCGCAGUGGUUAACGAAUCCAACUAGGAACCAUGAGGUUUCGGGUUCGGUCCCUGCCCUCGCUCAGUGGGUUAACGAUCCGGCGUUGCCAUGAGCUGUGGUGUAGGUCGCAGACGCAGCUCGGAUCCCGAGUUGCUGUGGCUCUGGCAUAGGCUGUCAGCAACAGCUCCAAUUCGACCCCUAGCCUGGGAACCUCCAUAUGCCACGAGAGCGGCCCGAGAAAUGG